GUUACUUUAGUAUAAUAUGAAUAUUUUAAAUUUAGGUUUUGAAGAUGAUGGUGUAACU
rnacentral:tRNA from 1 species